rnacentral:tRNA from 1 species
GUUUGAGUAGCUUAAAUUUAAAGCAUAACAUUGAAGAUGUUAGGAUAAGUGAAACUUCUUAAACA